GACGAACGCUGGCGGCGUGCUUAACACAUGCAAGUCGAGCGGAGCGGCGAACGGGUGAGUAACACGUGGGUAACUACCCAUCAGAGGGGGAUAACACUUGGAAACAGGUGCUAAUACCGCAUACUGAUGGAUGAACCGCGGUGCAUGAGCGUGUUGGUGGGGUAGUGGCCUACCAAGGCGACGACGGGUAGCCGGCCUGAGAGGGCGACCGGCCACAUUGGGCUGGGAUACGUGCCAAAGGCCUACGGGAGGCAGCAGUGGGGAAUAUUGCACAAUGGGGGAAACCCUGAUGCAGCAACGCGCGUGCGGGAUGACGGCCUUCGGGGUGUAAACCGCUUUCAGCCAUGACGCGGUAGUGGCAGAAGAAGCACCGGCUAACUACGUGCCAGCAGCCGCGGUAAUAC
rnacentral:rRNA from 1 species